ACCAUCUAAGUGUUUCAAUCAGAGAAAAUUUAACACAAGGAAUUGGUUACAUGGGUGACUGGAUACCAAAGGAAGACAAUUUAUGAGAAGUGUUUUUCAGGCAAAGACCAAGACCAAGUGGGACUUGGAGGAGCAAUAGAUGUGUAGUUUAGACAGAAGAAAUACUCUGUGCAAGAGCCUAGAGGGUGAAACCAACAGCUCCAGAGGAAAAAGAAGGAAGCUACUCACAGAGAACAAAAUCAGCAUCUAAACAGAAAACAAGAACAU